UACGUAGGGGGCGAGCGUUGUCCGGAUUUAUUGGGCGUAAAGAGCGUGUAGGCGGCCACGCAGGUCCGUUGUGAAAACUGGAGGCUCAACCUCCAGCUGUCGACGGAAACCGUGUGGCUAGAGUCCGGAAGAGGAGAGUGGAAUUCCUGGUGUAGCGGUGAAAUGCGCAGAUAUCAGGAAGAACACCAAUGGCGAAGGCAGCUCUCUGGGACGGUACUGACGCUGAGACGCGAAAGCGUGGGGAGCGAACAGG
rnacentral:rRNA from 1 species